rnacentral:rRNA from 1 species
AAACUUUGCAAUGUGCGAAAGCACGACAAGGUUAAUCCGAGUGUUUCCUGCUAAAGGAAUCUUUUGUUAGUCAUAAAACCACUAUCGAAUAAGGGGUGGGCAAGUUCUGGUGUCAGCCGCCGCGGUAAAACCAGCACCUCAAGUGGUCAGGAGGAUUAUUGGGCCUAAAGCAUCCGUAGCCUGCUUUGUAAGUUUUCGGUUAAAUCCAUAUGCUCAACAUAUGGGCUGCCGGGAAUACUACAUAGCUAGGGAGUGGGAGAGGUAGACGGUACUCCGUAGGAAGGGGUAAAAUCCUUUGAUCUAUGGAUGACCACCUGUGGCGAAGGCGGUCUACCAGAACACGUCCGACGGUGAGGGAUGAAAGCUGGGGGAGCAAACCGGAUUAGAUACCCGGGUAGUCCCAGCUGUAAACUAUGCAAACUCGGUGAUGCAUUGGCUUGUGGCCAGUGCAGUGCCGCAGGGAAGCCGUUAAGUUUGCCGCCUGGGAAGUACGUACGCAAGUAUGAAACUUAAAGGAAUUGGCGGGGGAGCAC